GAUUGAACGCUGGCGGCAGGCUUAACACAUGCAAGUCGAGCGGUAACAGGAGAAGCUUGCUUCUCGCUGACGAGCGGCGGACGGGUGAGUAACGCGUAGGAAUCUGCAUAGCAGUGGGGGAUAGCCCAGAGAAAUUUGGAUUAAUACCGCAUACGCCCUUCGGUGGAAAGAAGAGGCCUCUUCUUGAAAGCUUUCGCUAUUGGAUGAGCCUGCGUGAGAUUAGCUAGUUGGUAGGGUAAAGGCCUACCAAGGCGACGAUCUCUAGCUGGUCUGAGAGGAUGAUCAGCCACACUGGAACUGAGACACGGUCCAGACUCCUACGGGAGGCAGCAGUGGGGAAUAUUGCACAAUGGGCGAAAGCCUGACGCAGCCAUACCGCGUGUGUGAUGAAGGCCUUCGGGUUGUAAAGCACUUUCAGCGAGGAGGAAAGGUUAGUAAGUAAUAUUUGCUAGCUGUGACGUUACUCGCAGAAGAAGCACCGGCUAAUUUAGUGCCAGCAGCCGCGGUAAUACUAAAGGUGCAAGCGUUAAUCGGAAUUACUGGGCGUAAAGCGCGCGUAGGUGGUUUGUAAGCCAGAUGUGAAAGCCCCGGGCUCAACCUGGGAUUGCAUUUGGGAACUGGGGAACUAGAGUCCUGUAGAGGGGGUAGAAUUUCAGGUGUAGCGGUGAAAUGCGUAGAGAUCUGAAAGGAAUACCGGUGGCGAAAGGCGGCCCCCUGGACAAAGACUGACGCUCAUGUACGAAAGCGUGGGGAGCAAACAGGAUUAGAUACCCUGGUAGUCCACGCCGUAAACGAUGUCUACUCGGAAUUUGGUAACUUAGUUACUGGGUUCCCAAGCUAACGCAUUAAGUAGACCGCCUGGGGAGUACGGUCGCAAGAUUAAAACUCGAAUGAAUUGACGGGGGCCCGCACAAGCGGUGGAGCAUUGUGGUUAAUUCGAUGCAACGCGAAGAACCUUACCUACUCUUGACAUCCUCAGAACUUACCAGAGAUGGUUUGGUGCCUUCGGGAACUGAGAGACAGGUGCUGCAUGGCUGUCGUCAGCUCGUGUUGUGAAAUGUUGGGUUAAGUCCCGUAACGAGCGCAACCCUUGUCCUUAUUUGCCAGCACGUAAUGGUGGGAACUUUAAGGAGACUGCCGGUGACAAACCGGAGGAAGGUGGGGACGACGUCAAGUCAUCAUGGCCCUUAUGAGUAGGGCUACACACGUGCUACAAUGGCCGGUACAGAGUGCAGCAAGACCGCGAGGUGGAGCAAAUCCCAGAAAGCUGGUCGUAGUCCGGAUUGGAGUCUGCAACUCGACUCCAUGAAGUUGGAAUCGCUAGUAAUCGCGGAUCAGAAUGCCACGGUGAAUACGUUCCCGGGCCUUGUACACACC
rnacentral:rRNA from 1 species